AACGUGCUGCGUCUUCGGAUGUGGUGAGCCAUUCACGACGGUGCGUCGCAUUUUAAAUUUCUGCAAGGAUUGGCAAAUUGAAAGCUCUUUCUUGAUUCGGUGAAUGGUGGUGCGUACCCGUUCUUCAUUGGUGGAGUGAUUUGUCUGGUAAAUUCCGAUAACGAACGAGACCCUAGCCUAUUAAAUAGGUGCGUGGUUCUCUGCACCUUGCACCCUUCUUAGAGGGACAAGCGGCUCUUAGCCGCACAAGAAAGAGCAAUAACAGGUCUGUGAUGCUCUUAGACGUCCGAGGUCGCACGCGCGCUGCACUUAAUAAAGCAGCGUGUUUUUAGCCCUGUUUGUUAAGACAGUAAGCUUAGAAAAAAGUGGCUUGAGCAAAUACAGAGGGCUAUUUGAAGUCCAUCGGACUACUCCCGAGCAAGCGUUCGUGUGUUUAAAUAACAGGGCAUAGAAAAAAACGUU
rnacentral:ncRNA from 1 species